rnacentral:misc_RNA from 1 species
UAUGAUUACAUGGUAGGAAUCAUCUGUUGCUUGAUGCCCACCAAGAAGGGGGAAAAUGGUCAUCUUUUUUGGGAACUUUGUUAUUCAUGAGUCAAAGAGUUGUUUAUUAGCAUCCAAUUCUCGAUUAGUAUUGGCCAAAUCUUAUAAGAAUCCUUAAGUUGGUGUUUGGGGCUCUAAAUGAACUGAGCUGUGCCAGGCAGAGUUUCCUCUGUUCAGGCCAAGUUUCUUCCCUUAGCUGUUAUUGUAUUUUUUAAAUUUUGUCUGAUCAACAAAUGUAAAAUUUACUUAAGCUUAAUUGGCAUGAUAUAGCAUGUGAGAAUAUGCAUUUGAUUUAUUAUACUUAAUUUAAUCUGAUAUCAACUAGAAAAUUUUGUAUCCUUUUCUUUUGAUAUGUAGGUUGAAAGCAAUGCUCGGUUUGUG